ACCACAUAUAAGGGGGCGGUCAAAGUAUUUAAAUGUAUCUCUACAAAAGCUUAAUAGUUCCCUUGUCUUCAAGUAAUCUGUCGUAGAGAAGACACCAAGAAACAGGGGACACGAUGAUAGCCGGUGUGAAGAUGUUGUUAUGCCUCGGACUGAUUGUAGCCACAAUGGCAUUCGAAACAACUGAUUAUGAAUUCGAAAAGAGUCUGAAGGGCAUCAUUGCUCGGAGAAAAAGCCUGUCAUAUAUCAAAGACAUGCUACAUGAUCUUGACGCUCGAUUAGAGAAACUUCAGAAAAGAACCUGCUUUCUCAAC